GAGUUUGAUCCUGGCUCAGAGCGAACGCUGGCGGCAGGCCUAACACAUGCAAGUCGAACGGACCCUUCGGGGUUAGUGGCGGACGGGUGAGUAACACGUGGGAACGUGCCUUUAGGUUCGGAAUAGCUCCUGGAAACGGGUGGUAAUGCCGAAUGUGCCCUUCGGGGGAAGGAUUAUCGCCUUAGAGCGGCCCGCGUCUGAUUAGCUAGUUGGUGAGGUAACGGCUCACCAAGGCGACGAUCAGUAGCUGGUCUGAGAGGAUGACCAGCCACA
rnacentral:rRNA from 1 species